rnacentral:rRNA from 1 species
UGCAGUCGACGAGCCUUCGGGUUAGUGGCGGACGGGUGAGUAACGCGUGAGAACUGCCCUCAGGAGGGGGAUAACAGUUGGAAACGACUGCUAAUACCCCAUAUGCCGAGAGGUGAAACGAAUUUUGCCUGGGGAUGAGCUCGCGUCUGAUUAGCUUGUUGGUGGGGUAAAAGCCUACCAAGGCUUCGAUCAGUAGCUGGUCUGAGAGGACGAUCAGCCACACUGGGACUGAGAUACGGCCCAGACUCCUACGGGAGGCAGCAGUGGGGAAUUUUCCGCAAUGGGCGCAAGCCUGACGGAGCAACGCCGCGUGAGGGAUGAAGGCCUUUGGGCUGUAAACCUCUUUUCUCAAGGAAGAAGAUCUGACGGUACUUGAGGAAUAAGCCACGGCUAAUUCCGUGCCAGCAGCCGCGGUAAUACGGGAGUGGCAAGCGUUAUCCGGAAUUAUUGGGCGUAAAGCGUCCGCAGGCGGCCGUUUAAGUCUGUUGUUAAAUCGUGGAGCUCAACUCCAUCACGGCAAUGGAAACUGUUCGGCUUGAGUAUGGUAGGGGCAGAGGGAAUUUCCGGUGUAGCGGUGAAAUGCGUAGAUAUCGGGAAGAACACCAGUGGCAAAAGCGCUCUGCUGGGCCAUUACUGACGCUCAUGGACGAAAGCCAGGGGAGCGAAAGGGAUUAGAUACCCCUGUAGUCCUGGCCGUAAACGAUGAACACUAGAUGUUGGGGGAAUCGACCCCUCCGGUGUCGUAGCUAACGCGUUAAGUGUUCCGGCCUGGGAGUACGCACGC